rnacentral:miRNA from 1 species
AGGCAGUGUGAUUAGCUUGCCG